UAUUAGAUAUCUUAAGUUUAAAGAGUUGAAUUUUUAAUUCAAAUAUAAUAAUGAUUUAUUUUUAAUAG
rnacentral:tRNA from 1 species